rnacentral:ncRNA from 2 species
GUUUGAUGUAGAGGCGCGAUAUUUAUCAGUAGUUCAUAAGAGGGUGAUACCUAUGAUGAUGAAUGAAAGGGGAUAUCGCCGAAGUAGGUAUCGCUGGUAAAUAAUUCAGCUAAGCUUAUCAAGCUGCUUACUGGGGUUACGCCGAAUAGGUGUAACACUGCCAUAGUUUGUGCGAAUUUAUUUUUGAUGUUGUGGUUAAAUAUCAAACGAAUAGAUUGCGCAGUAUUUUUAUACUAUGGAGCGCUACUGUAGGC